rnacentral:rRNA from 1 species
AGAGUUUGAUCAUGGCUCAGAAUCAACGCUGGCGGCGCGCUUAACACAUGCAAGUCGCACGAGAAAGGGGAGCAAUCCCUGAGUACAGUGGCGUACGGGUGAGUAACACGUGGAUGAUCUACCUUCUAGUGGGGAAUAACCCUGGGAAACCGGGGCUAAUACCGCAUAAGCUCUAGCGAGGAAAGCAGCAAUGCGCUGGAAGAGGAGUCCGCGGCCGAUUAGCUAGUUGGCAGGGUAAAAGCCUACCAAGGCAUAGAUCGGUAGCCGGCCUGAGAGGGCACACGGCCACACUGGCACUGAAACACGGGCCAGACUCCUACGGGAGGCAGCAGUGGGGAAUCUUGCACAAUGGGGGAAACCCUGAUGCAGCGACGCCGCGUGAGCGAUGAAGCCCUUCGGGGUGUAAAGCUCUUUCGGCAGGGGAGAUGAUGACGGUACCUGCAGAAGCAGCUGCGGCUAACUACGUGCCAGCAGCCGCGGUA